rnacentral:lncRNA from 1 species
UGGCAUUUGGACAUCUUUGUCCCCCUACACUUGAGUCAUGCUCUGUCCGUGCUCAGGGCUGCGCCUGUUUUCAGUGCAUUCACAUUUCUAUCACUUUGAGGUCUGGGCUCGGCCCAGCAGUGGGAUGGGUAGAUUGGGAGGCCCAGGAUCUGGACUGGAUCUGUCAGCUGGAGUGUGGCAGGCGCUUGAGGAAUGAGCAGCAGCAGGUAGCAGGACAGCACCUGGUCUGACUAAGAGAAGACAGUCUCCGGGAAGAGCAGAGCAAUGACUCAGGUUAUAGACAAGGUUACAGUGAGUCUUGAAGGACUAACAUGAUGUCGCAGGAUGCCCUGCGAGGCAGGCGGAGCCCUACUGUAAUAGAAAUCCAGGGAAUUAGCAUCAGAUAAGCAUCAGCUGGUUGCAGGGCACCAAUCACUAGACUGUGCCUCUUGGGCAGACUCUGGUCUUGGGGGUAGGACAGUACCAGCGGGAAGAAGGCAAAUGCCCAGGUUUGCGUGGAGAGGGAGCCAGGCAGACGUAAGCACAUCAGAGACCAAGUCAAACCUGUCAUCAGAACCAGCUCACAGGCUCCUGUAGCCUAGAAGAAAGAGUGGGUUGGGAGUAAUCCUGGAAUGUUGAUCUUCAAGGUCAAAUGCCCCUCUACAAGGUCAGGGGUUGGUCCUAAAGACCAAAGUUCCAGGUCACACAUGGCAAAAGCCCUAAACCCAGGGAAGUGGCUUCAAUCUGCGCUCUCCACGGUCAGGAAGAGGGCCUUCAUUCACGUGGCAAACAUCUUCUGAGCACUCAGAUGUGUCAGGCGCUGAGUCACAAUGGAGAAUAGUCCCCGCCCUCAAGGAGCCCUGAGAAACAAGCCUCCUUUGACCGACUGUUGGUGAGCAACCACUGAAGCAGGAUUCUUUACAGCACCUCUGGCGCAAUCCUCACAGACUGGAGACCAGCCUCCACGCAGGACCUGCCGACACACUUCGUUACGCUCUGCACAGCAAAGCACAUACGCAGUAAAGUGCGCAAGUCUUGAGGAAACAUCUUGAUGGCUUUAUAAACCCAUCAACACAGUGUUUUAAAAGUAAGCUCACAUACCAAGGAAGCUGGGAAAGAAGCUUGGAAAAAAUGAGAUGCAAAGUGAGGGUUGGCACAGAAUUUGAAUGAUGAUUAGCAGGGCGGACACCUCAUUCCAAAGCAUCCAGUUGCACAUAGCAUUUGCUCAGCAAUUUACCAAGAGGACAAAGGUGGCCUCCUCUGCUGCUUGUUGGUGAAAGUUUGCUAGACUUAUCUUUGAACGGUGACUGUCAGUUAUUAACUUUUCUCGUGAAAAAAGUCCCUGGAAUGUAAAAAUUUAUUCCGAGCAACAGCACACACCAAACCUCCCUCACCGCUGCCGGCUUUCCAUCUCAGAUUCUGAUGGUGUGGAGACGAAAGGCUGAGGGCUCUCCCGGAGCUCACCUUCCAUCUGCGAAAGCCACUGCCGGGACAAUUCUUUCCCCAGAGAGAAGGCAUCCUCUUGGGCACAGAAGCGAGAUUGUCUAACAGUGUCCCAGAGCUCUCCGUACCUCAGUUUCCCGAUCUGCGCCUGCCAUACAUGGUGGUCCUACUGCUGGUUUGAAAAGUAUGCUACAAAUAUGAAGAGAUAAUCAGCAAGGCUCCUUGGAUAAGGUUAUUAUAUUCAAGUCUUGCCAAAAAAUGUAAGAAAAAAAACUCCAAUUUGAUGGGAUCCAGAGGAACAAUUAUGCUUUCUAAAAAUAAGAUGAGCCGAAGCUAAGGAAAUGAAAACGUUUCUAAAGAAGAAGGUCAGGACUUCUUUUGUGGCCUCCUUUCAUCGCUGGGUUAUUCACUGUAAUAGUAGCCUGCCAUUUCAAACUAUGACUCAGGGGCCUGGUCAUGGGUUACAGAGCAUUUCAUCUGUGGUCACCCCACCUGCCCACGAGAAAUUGAUGGUUAGCGACUACGGAGCAGGUUACUCACUGAAUAUUAUUCUCCACCGUAACCUCCUGACCCUUGCCUCAUCGAAAAGAUUGGUGCUAUUCUGCUUUUACCUACAGAGAAAGAGCAAGGAGGAGAUAAAAUAGGACCUUGAUAUUCGGGGUUGUGGCUCAUUUCUGAAGGUCGGACAUGAAAAGCUGUUUCGAAUUUUGCCCCAUUCGUUCUUAAAACCGCAGCCCAGGAAUUUAUAAGCAUAGCUGCCCUUUAUCUCUCCCAAGAAUGAAAUUGCUUUCUCCAAUAGAGUUUAAAGGGAUGAAUUAAUUGGUGUUUUUGGCAGGAGUACUCUAUAAUUGCAAAGUACUCUGAGUAUCACCAUAUAGUUUUUUCCUUAGAUGGUCCAUUAGGAGGAACUAUGGCAUUCCCAAAGCUAUUCUUUAAUUAGGUCAGCAGCAUCUGCCAAGAAUCCGCUCUCCUCUCAGACCAGGUUUAAUCACAGUGACAAGUGACUUUCAAGUUUAUACCCACACACUCUUAGAUUUCUGAUUUGCCCUAGAAGAAGGUUCUGAUCACAGUGUUCUGAGCGCUGGCCCCUGGGCCUGACUUCCCUGUCUGUCUGGAUUUGGGAUUUUUGGCCUGCCCUUACCUUGUGACUUGCCCCCCUGGAUUGCUGACCCAUUCUUGACCUCUGACAACAGCACGCUCCUUAACAUCUG